rnacentral:rRNA from 1 species
AUUGAACGCUGGCGGCAGGCCUAACACAUGCAAGUCGAACGAGUGGCGGACGGGUGAGUAAUGUCUGGGAAACUGCCCGAUGGAGGGGGAUAACUACUGGAAACGGUAGCUAAUACCGCAUACCAUCGGAUGUGACCAGAUGGGAUUAGCUUGUAGGUGAGGUAACGGCUCCCCUAGGCGCCGCGCCCUAGCUGGUCUGUGAGGGUGACCAGCCAGCCUGGAACGGAUGCACGGUCCAGAGUCCGAUGGGAGGCAGCAGUGGGGAAGAUGGGACAAUGGGCGAAAGCCUGAUCCAGCCAUGCAGCGUGUGUGAAGAAGGUCUUCGGAUUGUAAAGGUUUUGAAGGUGGGAGGCGUUACCAACAUAAUAAGCACCGGCUAACUUCGUGCCAGCAGCCGCGGUAAUAC